ACAGGUUUUAUGCCAGGCCUGGAAACACAAUAUAAAUGUUUAUUAUUUUGGGCUGAUAGUCCCUUACAUGGGGACCACAUAUUAAGUUGAUUUUUGGGACAGGGAACUGGAUUAGGGGCUUGCUCCGUCCACUCCAAGCAUCAACCUGGUAUUGCAGUACAUCUGGGAAUGGUGCAUCCACU